rnacentral:misc_RNA from 1 species
UUAUUAUAUUUGUACACAAAAUCCAUUCGGUCCAUGUAGAUUCACCACCACUGCCAGCGCUACCACCACACACGGAAAACAAAAUAAUUUAUUGCUUUCUUCACAUCCACAAAAUCAAGAUGUUUUGAAACAUAGUUCAGAUUUUAAAACAGGUGUAAAAGAUUAGUUUUAGACUUUUAGUACUUUAUUUUUGAGUAAGUGCUAUUUCAGGACGUGAUGGCACCUUAGCUUUCAGUUCUGGGCAUAGGCCUCUUUCUCCAUUUAGGAAUAGGAUCAUUAUUUAUAUUUAUUAUUAAAUAUUGACUUGAAUUCGCAUUGACGCAUUGAGUUAUUUCUUAAUUACUUUUAAAAAUUAAAUUUUAUUUGGGUUUUGAACUUUUGAUCAUUUAUAGCAGUUUUGCCCCGCGUGGGCUAAAUAUUAAAUUAUAAUAUUUACGGAUAUUAUCUGUCAAAUUAGAGUCACCGCUGUUUUAUAGCGUGUUUA